rnacentral:rRNA from 1 species
UACGAAGGGGGCUAGCGUUACUCGGAAUGACUGGGCGUAAAGGGCGCGUAGGCGGUUUGUUUAGUUAGGCGUGAAAUUCCUGGGCUCAACCUGGGGGCUGCGCUUAAUACAGGCAGACUAGAGUGUGAAAGAGGGUCGUGGAAUUUCCAGUGUAGAGGUGAAAUUCGUAGAUAUUGGAAAGAACACCGGUGGCGAAGGCGGCGACCUGGUUCAUUACUGACGCUGAGGCGCGAAAGCGUGGGGAGCGAACAGG